rnacentral:sRNA from 1 species
AUAGGUCGACCUUUGAUUGAUCAAAGGAGUGUGUCAUAGAGAGUUGUUCAUCUCCUAUUUCACCAAGGAGUGUGUUCAGCGGAGGGUGAACGGAGAAGAGACACAGAGGUCCAUAAGCAGGAGGUGGACGACCUAGGAAGCUAGGUUUUUAUCAGGACUCUGAUAGGAGUUAGUAGGAUUAGAGAAACUAUAAAAGGGGUUGCAGAGAAGUGGGAAAGCAUCAGAAAUCGAAAAGGGGUAGAGAAAUUGAGAGUUAGAGAACGUGAUUGUGAAGGAAGGAUUCAAAGAUUUGAAGGGGUUUGGUUCAAAAAGUCAAUUUCUUGUUAAUGUUGAGUCAUGUACAGAACCAGAAACCUAAAAGUCUACUUGCUGUCUGUUGUGUAAUUAUGUAGAAGAAAUAAAAAG